UACAGAGGGUGCAAGCGUUAUUCGGAGUUAUUGGGCGUAAAGAGCGCGUAGGUGGCUCGAUAAGUUUGAUGUGAAAUCCCUGGACUCAAUCCAGGAAGUGCAUUGAAUACUGUCGGGCUCGAGUACAGGAGAGGUAGGCGGAAUUCCAGGUGUAGAGGUGAAAUUCGUAGAUAUCUGGAGGAACAACAGUGGCGAAGGCGGCCUGCUGGACUGUAACUGACACUGAGGCGCGAAAGCGUGGGGAGCAAACAGG
rnacentral:rRNA from 1 species